GGGGGGGGGGGGGGGGGGGGGGGGGGGGGGGGGGGGGGGGGGGGGGGGGGGGCGGGUGGGGGGUGGGCGAGGGGCGGGCGGGGGAGGGACACGGGAGUGGCCGGCCCUUGGCGUUGGGGUCGCGUCCGGGAACGGGGGCUAAUACCGGAUAGGCGCUCCGGCUGCAUGGUGGGGGUGGGCAAGUUGCGGCGGUUGGGGAUGGACUCGCGGCUUACCCGCUUGUUGGUGGGGUAGUGGCUUACCAAGGCUUUGCCGGGUAGCCGGCCUGAGAGGGUGACCGGCCACAUUGGGACUGAGAUACGGCCCAGACUCCUACGGGAGGCAGCAGUGGGGAAUAUUGCACAAUGGGCGGAAGCCUGAUGCAGCAACGCCGCGUGCGGGAUGACGGCCUUCGGGUUGUAAACCGCUUUCGCCUGUGACGAAGCGUGAGUGACGGUAAUGGGUAAAGAAGCACCGGCUAACUACGUG
rnacentral:rRNA from 1 species